rnacentral:sRNA from 1 species
GGGAGAUUCCAUUAUAGGGGCUGGAAAACCCCUUUACCAUACCACAUCCCUCAUCAGAAAUGCCUUAGUCAUAAGACCUUUCCUGACUGAUGUAUGUCUGUCCCUCAGGCAUCACCUGGAGCUCUCUUUGUUGGAAGAUCCAUGGAAGAGCAUGGAAUCUGCUGAUCUUGGUUAGGUUCAGGAUGGGAACCUUAAGCCCAGUUUACAGGGGUCAUGGCCUUUCAUUCCUUGGUAGUUUGGGGGGCGAAAGCCAAGCUCAUACCAUGGAAGUUUUUGUCAGGGCAGGAGGAAGAGUGACCAUUUCCUUUUCCUUCUUCCUGCCUUGCCAUCUUCUAGUUGUGGUUCUUGUGGAUGUCUCAGACAAGUGGACACGGAACCAGCUCAGCCCCCAGUUGCUCAGGUGCUUGACCAAGUUCUCCCAGAUCCCUAGUGUCCUGGUCAUGAACAAGGUAGAUUGUCUGAAGCAGAAGUCAGUUCUCCUGGAGCUCACGGCAGCCCUCACUGAAGGUGUGGUCAAUGGCAAAAAGCUCAAGAUGAGGCAGGCCUUCCACUCACACCCUGGCACCCAUUGCCCCAGCCCAGCAGUUAAGGACCCAAACACACAAUCUGUGGGAAAUCCUCAGAGGAUUGGCUGGCCCCACUUCAAGGAGAUCUUCAUGUUGUCAGCCCUAAGCCAGGAGGAUGUGAAAACACUAAAGCAAUACCUUCUGACACAGGCCCAGCCAGGGCCCUGGGAGUACCACAGUGCAGUCCUCACUAGCCAGACACCAGAAGAGAUCUGUGCCAACAUUAUCCGAGAGAAGCUCCUAGAACACCUGCCCCAGGAGGUGCCUUACAAUGUACAGCAGAAGACGGCAGUGUGGGAGGAAGGACCAGGUGGGGAGCUGGUUAUCCAACAGAAGCUUCUGGUGCCCAAAGAAUCUUAUGUGAAACUCCUGAUUGGUCCGAAGGGCCACUUGAUCUCCCAGAUAGCACAGGAGGCAGGCCGUGACCUCAUGGACAUCUUCCUCUGUGAUGUUGACAUCCGCCUCUCUGUGAAGCUCCUCAAGUGACCACCCUCUACUGACCCUCCCAGGGCAUUCCAGCUCCAGCUGCUGGCGGGAACUGACCAGUUCUGUCCUUGGCUGGGGACCCUCCAGGCACUGGUGAGAGACAUGAACACUGACUGGCCGCUAGCUGGCCUGGCCCUGUUGAGUCUGCACAGUCCCUGCCCAGCUGUGUCUUCUGUUGGAAGAAGGAACCUGCCUUAGCUCAGUUUCCAGGUGGUUCCUCUGCCUGGGACCACAGCUACAAAGGUGUAGCUAAGAAGAUGGCCCAUUGGUGGGAGCAAUGUCACCCUGCCUCCAGCUAGCUAUGGGCCCAGAGUUUCUCCCUGAGUCGCUGUUGCUAGCAGGGAGAUUUCUCUUCCUGCCCUCACUUCCUUCACCUUGAACUUGGAUAAGAACUCGUGUCUCCUGAGUGAGGUAGCGCCUCCCAUCUGCUCCCCAAUUCUUGAUCUCUCCCACCCC